rnacentral:lncRNA from 1 species
CGUCGGAUGGUGGAUGUCAUGGACGUGAACACACAGAAGGGGAUUGAAAUGACCAUGGCGCAAUGGACACGAUACUAUGAGACUCCAGAGGAAGAGCGAGAGAAACUCUAUAAUGUUAUCAGCCUAGAGUUUAGCCACACCAGGCUUGAGAAUAUGGUACAGCGGCCUUCCACGGUGGAUUUCAUUGACUGGGUAGAUAACAUGUGGCCAAGGCACUUGAAAGAAAGUCAGACUGAAUCAACAAAUGCCAUCUUAGAGAUGCAGUACCCUAAAGUGCAAAAGUAAGUUACUUGUUCUUGUAUACUUUCCCCAGUGUUCUGUGAGGUAUAACAUUGAUAACUUUGAUAACAAGGAACGGUUCAUCCCUUUUCUAGCUUUGCUGUUUUAAAUCAUCAAAUUGAUAAGAGUAUGUGAGAAAUUACAUGAUCUCAUAAUAAAGGGGAAAGAUUGUAUGGUCUUAGAAAUGUGACAUAGAACUGCAUUCCUUUAGCAAGAUUUGGUAUUCCAUGGGCCAGCCCUCUAAGUAGCAAAUUCCAGGACAGACAGGAACCCUUGCUUCAAACCCUCCAAA